rnacentral:lncRNA from 1 species
AUUCAUGUAAGAUGUUUUAUAAAACUUGUUUAUUAUGAUUUGAGUCAGUGACUUUGAAUUAUUUUGGAAAUUAUUUUGAUAAGAAAUAUUUUAUAUUGUGUUUCAGUAGAUAAAUUCAAAGAGGUGCAUGCAUAUCCAUUUAUUUAAAGGCAAAAUUUCAUGAAACAACACAUAUGCCUUCUUCAUGCAAUUUAUUCUAUUCUUGUUAAUUAAAUGCUACUGAGAGCCACAAUAUUAUGUCAAAACUUACAGUCUGAAUAAUAUUGCUUUCAAUAUUGAUUAGCUCACAAAAUAUACCCAUGGUACUAUGCAGCUAAAAUAAUUUUUUAAAAUAUUGUGUAUGUGUUAUAUUAAAAUAAUUCUAAGUAUGUAAUUAGGUGAAUAAUACAUUUUAUUAGAUAAAAUAAUUAGAUGAACUUUCCUAAGUUACACAGUCAUACACUUUGAUAAGCAUCCAAGUCAUUUUAACAUGCCUUAGUAAUUUUUAUUACCUAAAAAUCACUUUAAAUAUACUAGGAGCAACAUUUUUUAAAACUUGACAUAAAAUUUCCAUAAAGUAGUAAUAUUUUACAGAAUGUUUCAAAAUGAAUAUACAAAAUUUUCUAAAAUUAUAAUUUAAUAAACAUUUAAUAAAUGCAUACAAUGCUUAUUGAUUUUGAUUUUAUGAAACCUGUCUAAAUGACAUGGGCCUAAUUAUUUAACAUAUAUUUUCAUAAAUAUAUUGUAAAAAUGGACAAUAUAUAAAUGGACAGAUUAUGAUGAUAAAUAAUAUAUCAAAUUAUAAAGUUAUGCAAUUAUUUUCUUCAGUGUAAAUGUGAAUCUUGCUUUACUUAGAUAAAAAUCCUUGAAAUUAAUAUUUUCUAUUUCAAAAUAAGAAUAUCAAGGCUUCUUUCUUGCUUUUCUCCUUUCAUUUCCUCUUCUCUCCUAUUCUCUCUUUUCUCUUAUUUUUUUCUUCCCUUUCUUCCUUCCCCUUUCUUUCCCAUACACUGUAAUCUAAAUACCAAGGGGCCAAGAAAGUUAGGCAUAGGUUGGGAGGUAGGGGUACAGAAACAUUGGUAGCCCAGAGUGAGAUUAUAGGAGCUGAGCAAGAGGAGGAAGUUGUCCUUGAUGGGCAUGGGGGUGAAGGUACAUUCAGAAGAGGCCUUAAUUCAAGAUGUUUUAUAUCUGAGUAGGAUGAGGGGGAUAUAUAGGCAAGGUUAAGGGCUAGCAAUAAGAGAUUAGUUAUAGAUAGUUUCUUGAUGAGAUGAGUAAAUAUAUUGAUGAUGAUGAUAAUGCUAAUGUUAGAGAAGGAGUUACAAGUAUGGAAGAGGUAAACAAAUAAAAUAAACACUGGUAUUGAUUUGAAAUUGGGAAUGUUGGUGUGAACUCAUGUUCAUUUUAGUAUAUGUGGGCAGAACUAUUGGUAAAAAUGUGUAUAUAUGUAUUAAUGCAUAUUUGUAUAUACCUAGCAUUCCCUGGCUUUGUCUACUGAUGUAGCUUUGUCUAUUGAUAUGGCAAUGGGAAAAGCAGUGUAGUGUCCUCAUUGCAAUGAACACAGCCAGCUGUCAGAUCUCAGUUUCUAAACACAGCGGUUCUCAUAGCUACCUGCAGAAAUGGCAGAUUCCAGCAUCGGCACAACAAAAGUGACAGAUGAGCCUGAGACAUUUAGUUUUGCCAGCAAGUAAGGAAGUAGCCAAAAUAUGAUGGAAACAUAACAUAAAGACACAGAAAUCACUAGUAUGGCAAUAUGUAAAUCAAUGGAUGUGUAACUGAUGUGAUUCUGCAAUCUGUAUAUGGGGUAAAAAUGGGAGCUCAUAACCCACUUGAAUCAAAGUGUGAAAUAUGAUAUAUCAAGAACUAUGUAAUGUUUUGAACAACCAACAAUAAAAAAUUAAAAAAAAAGACACAGAAAUCAGCUUGAAGAGGUUCCCACUGGCAAAAUCUAAGCUAAUAUGAACUUGAAAAUAUGAUAACAAUCCAAAUAGUUAAUAAUCUGUUGAAUAAAAUAAUCCAUGAAUGUACACUAAUAUUAAUUAAUUAAAUUGGAAGAUUAGGAAUGGGAUACUUAAGUCAAAAGAUAGUUCAACAAAAUUUUUAAUUGAAAGGAGAAGACUUUAACUUUAUUACGAAGAAGACUAGAAGGAUCACUUGAAUCAAGUGAUCAAAAUCAACAUCACUAUCAUGGGACAAGCUGACAUUUUGAGAACUCUGAUAGGAUGUGAUAAGAAUAAUCCAGUAUCAUUUCUGCCUCAUUUCUGCCAAAUAUACAAAAUUUGAAAGUGAUCAUUAGAAGAACCUGAUAUAUUUACUUGCCUGCUCAAUCUCUCUAUAUGUAACCAAUUCUCCUAACUGCUGGACACUUGGUUGGGCCCUACCCUGUGGUCAUCUCCUCAGCCCCAAAGACCUGUAAGUCCACUUUCCUGUUGUAUUAUUAACUUGAGUGAUUUUUAUUUUUAUUUUAGUUUUAUCAAAUAUUUCUAUUGACAGACGGUGACAAAUAUUCAUUGUAGAUACUUUGAAAAAUGUAGAAGUUGCUGUUCCAAAUUAAUUGUUGCAUUUUACUAUACGAUCAAUUUUUCUGUAUUAUUCUUGAUAGGUGGAGAGAUAUUAUGAAUGGGAUCAUAAUGCCCAUAUCUUACAUCAGUAAGUGCUGUGUUUUACUGUUUUCUCAAUAUUCCCUAUUUUUAUGUUAAUAAACAUUCUUCUGUGUUAGCAUUUUAAUGUUUGCAUAUUACUUCCCUUGUUAUGUAACUUAUCUCACUUUUUUUUUUUACCUUUGAUGGUGUAUCCAGUAUUAUUUUAUUCGAAAACUCAAUGUUCAUAAUUUCCUUAUAAUACAGAAUUUCUGGGACAAAAGAUAUUAUAUUUAUAAGAUUAUAAUAUUUGUCAUCAAAAUGCUCUCCAGAUGUAUUGUAGCCCCAGUAGAGUACAGAAGGGCCUUCCCCACACCUGUUCCACACAAGCUAUUAUAAUUUUUUAAUGUUUCCAAUUUGUAUUUUUAUUUGUAAUGAUUGGCUUUGAUUGUGGGAGAUCAAUGAUUUUUAAACAUAUUUAUUGUCUUCUCAUAUUUCUUUCUUCAUGAAUUGUUUGUAACCUUUCUAAACUUCCUUUACAGAAGUGUCUCUCUUAAAAAUACAUAAUUGUUCCCUGAGUUCACUAUUAAUCCUAAUCAGAUACUGCUUUUCUCUACUUCAAUAUAUCAAAGUAGUAGUCUGAGGAUUAUCAUUUGGACCUUGAGAAACUUACAGUGCCAUGGGAAAUGCAGACAAACUCCAAAAGUAGGAUAUAAGAUAAAUCCUUUUUGAUCAGGCACUUGCAAAAUUCUGUGUGGGAAUAUACACAAGGAAGAUAUUAAUUCUCCCUGUAGGGUCAAGAAACAAUUUCAGAAAGAAGGUUAUAUUUGGGCUGUACUUCAAGGAGAAAUGAGAGCUUGCAAAGUGGAGAAAACAUCUACAACUAAGAGAUAGUCAUGAUAGGACAUCUGAAGCCACAAAAGCAAAUGGUAUAUUUAGGAAACUGCAAAAGCCAGCUAUGACUAGAAUUUCAGAUAUAUGCCUGGUUCAAC